UCGUGUUAUAUUGCAAUUAAAAAACGGACAGAACUUUCCGGUAGACCUAAUAUUUUCUCCGCAAAAAAUCCCGAAAGAAAGUUAAACCCAAACGCAAUUUACACUACACUGUCCCCUGAAGCCAACGCGUAUCAGUCAUUUUCAGUGCCUGCCAAGUCCAAUGUCGAACAGCUGACCCAUUCAUGGGGCAGAAACUUACACCGCGCGAGAUGUCUGUCAUGAUCGGUGCGAGUUUACGCAACGGAUCACAGAAACCUCGUAAACCGAUGUUACCAUUCCUAGUAACCUAACACCCGACUACGUACCGACGCUUCGAGCAGCAUCCAAAUAUUGCGACGCAUCGGAUACAGCGGGGAAACGAUACCGGAAUCAGAUAUUCUAAAUCCACUCGUGAUGCUCAUUUUAUUUCGAUGCGCUGCCAUUGGGAAGUGUAUCCAUUUCAAGUGGAGGGAAGGAAAGAGGGAGCCAGUGUCCUCCAGGACGCAACGUGUCCAACAGGCUUUUCGAUUCUCCCUAGCGGGCUGACGACCGACUCAUGCUUCAACGAUUGUGCACCGUUAUCUCGCGGAGGAUCAUUGUACCCCUGCGAGCCUCUUAGGUACAGUAAAUGGCGGCCCUAUACAGGGGCUGAUUCUGUGCCAACUCCCAGCCGGCAGCAACAUCCAAGUUGUCGACCAACGUUUGCCAUUUACUGCACAACAUUGCCGGCGCGACUCGAGGAUCGCGACCCUUGUGGCAGCUAGCGGACAACUGCUCUGGCUCAUUGUUAUCCAGCGGUCCCCGAGGAGGAAGAUAAGAGAGAGAAAGAAGAAGAAGAGGGACAGGUCGGCUCGCAAACUUUCUGCGGCCAACGUUUAUGGCACUGCGGCUCGGGAAAUUGGGGAUCUGCGUCCAAGAAUUCGACGAGGCGCAAUUAGCGGGACAACGAAGCAUUGUUCAUUCCAGGGAAGCGGCGGAGAGUCGGAGCGACGAUAAAAUAAAACAGGGCGGAGAAAAAUAAAAAUCGACGAACGACGCGGAAUCUCUCGGACGUAUGGCGUGGACGCUUAAGUCCUGCCAUAAAUAUCGCUCGUUUGCGAGUGGCGGGAAGCAUGAAGCAUGACCAGAAAAAAUCCGUUCCUCAAACACGCGGAAUAUCGAAAUUUACAGCCUUACGUAGCGGAUGAGAGGGACGGACGACCAGCUUUAUGCAGAUUUGUAGAUCGGAGAGAGGACGUUCUCCUGCGGUCUGUAGGAUUCCGCCGACGCACCGCGGCGCGGAAAGAACAACACCGAAUUAACGAAUUCUGAAAUAUUCGUGUUUGUCGGUCGGCUGGAGAACCCGCGAAUGACGUUUCUGCUUAUCUGCCUUGAAAUAUUGAUCGUCGCGUUACCCAAAUUUCGAUGAUGAAUUUAUUUAUCGAGACUUCAAAGUUACGUAUUGUUAUUACGAACCUGUUCGUGAUCUGCGAAAUGCAAGAGCACCGACGCAGUAAUUAAUGAACUGUGGAACUUGAUGAAAAAUAAACAUUCUUGACCUGAAUUGCAGUUAACAGGAGUUAAAUAAAAAUUCAGUUUCAUUCUUAA